GUAUUCCUGCUUAGUGCGUGAUAAGGUGAUGUAUUCGAGCUACACUUUUAAAAAUGGAGUUCAAUAUCCAAUAUCGGUUUGCAGGCCUCCUAUCAUACUCUCUCUUAAUGGGCAUUUGCCGGACAGUCUAUGAUAGAUGUUGGAAGCAGUAAAGAUAUUAUGAGGACACCACCCUUGUUAACACAAGGUUCAAAUUUUCGCCUUACACGGCUCGGUGGGUAUCAA
rnacentral:other from 1 species